UGUUUAUGAUGACUUGCCAUGCUAAUACUGAGAGAGCCUUAGGUUCUCUGUGAGUUAAUUGAAAAGGCCUGAAACAA
rnacentral:snoRNA from 1 species